UACAGAGGGGGCAAGCGUUGUUCGGAAUUACUGGGCGGUAAAGGGCUCGUAGGCGGCCGACUAAGUCCGACGUGAAAGUCCCAAAGCUUAACUUUGGAACUGCGUCGGAUACUGGAUGGCUUGAAUUCGGGAGAGGGAUGCAGAAUUCCAGGUGUAGCGGUGAAAUGCGUAGAUAUCUGGAGGAAUACCGGUGGCGAAGGCGGCAUCCUGGACCGACAUUGACGCUGAGGAGCGAAAGCUAGGGGAGCAAACGGG
rnacentral:rRNA from 1 species